rnacentral:rRNA from 1 species
GGUGAACGCUGGCGGCGUGCUUAAGACAUGCAAGUCGAACGGGCUCUUCGGAGCCAGUGGCGCACGGGUGAGUAACGCGUAACUGACCUACCCCAAAGUCGCGGAUAACGAUUCGAAAGAAUCGCUAAUACGUGAUGUGCUGUCAGAUCCUGUUCUGCCAGUAAAGAUUUAUUGCUUUGGGAUGGGGUUGCGUUCCAUCAGCUAGUUGGUGGGGUAAAGGCCCACUAAGGCGACGACGGAUCGCCGGCCUGAGAGGGUGGCCGGCCACAGGGGCACUGAGACACGGGUCCCACUCCUACGGGAGGCAGCAGUUAGGAAUCGUCCACAAUGGGCGAAAGCCUGAUGGAGCGACGCCGCGUGAGGGAUGAAGGUCUUCGGAUCGUAAACCUCUGAAUCAGGGACGAAAGACGCGAAAGCGGGAUGACGGUACCUGAGUAAUAGCACCGGCUAACUCCGUG